CCUACGGGAGGCAGCAGUGGGGAAUAUUGGGCAAUGGGCGCAAGUCUGACCCAGCAACGCCGCGUGAAUGAAGAAGGCUUUCGGGUUGUAAACUUCUUUUCUGAGGGACGAAGAAAGUGACGGUACCUCAGGAAUAAGCUACGGCUAACUACGUGCCAGCAGCCGCGGUAAUACGUAGGUGGCAAGCGUUGUUCGGAUGUAUUGGGUGUAAAGGGUGUGUAGGCGGGAAAGCAAGUUAGAUGUGAAAACCCAGGGCUCAACCCUGAGCCUGCAUUUAAAACUGUUUUUCUUGAGUGCUGUAGAGGCUAUCGGAAUUCCGUGUGUAGCGGUGAAAUGCGUAGAUAUAAGGAGGAACACCAGUGGCGAAGGCGGAUUGCUGGACAGUAACUGACGCUGAGGCGCGAAAGCGUGGGGAGCAAACAGGAUUAGAUACCCUUGUAGUC
rnacentral:rRNA from 1 species